rnacentral:lncRNA from 10 species
AUUCACUUUCGAACUGAGAUGUAAGGGCAUUUUAUGAGUCUUUUGAAUGCCUCUCCAAGUUUUUCAGGAGUUUCUACAUUGAAAGGCUAUAAACUUAGUUGCAAUAAAAUAGACAUUAUUUUUAAUUGUUUCCUCUCAGCCUUAUCAUAUAUAUGUACCAAAAAAAAAAGACUGGCAUGGAAAAUCAUUAUUUACAGUUCUGAACAGCUUUCAUACUGUCAUCAUUCUGUAACGUAAGGUGUUUCUGCAUUGAAAGAAAAUAUACUGGGGCAGCAGUGUGAGGGAAGAAAAGCUAAAAACUACCAGGUGUUCUUGAAACCUUGUACAGAUACUUAUACAAAUAAUGUAUAUCUUUUGUAACUUCACUGAUUCCAGGUAUCAUUAUCCAUGUGGAAGACUAGGCUGGAAGAGCUUGUCUCCAACUUUGAAGAAGUGAAAAAACCAGAUGUUUGGGGCAAUUCAGAAGUCUGUGGAAGUUGAAGGUGUUAAUCAAUGGCACUCAGGUUACUUCCAAGAGAAACUAUUCAGGAUUUCCAAGUAACGAAGAAUCAAGCUAGUUUGUAAUGUCCUCAAAGAAAGAAACAUUUUCAUUUCUACAUGACCAGCAGCUAUCAUAGGGGCUGGCACACAGAUUUCUCAUCCUGGGAGAAACCAGCUGCCAGGUCUUGAGGAACACUCAAGCAGCACUGUGGGGAGACCCAUGUGGUGAGGAACUGGAGCCUCUGGAUAACACUCAGCAGAAACUGAGGCCUUCCAACAACCCCAUGAGUGAUACUGAAAGCAGAUCUCCCAGCCCCAGUCAAGCCUUCGGAUGACUGCGGCCCAGUAACAGCUUGAAUGCAACCUCACAAGAGACGUUGAGCUAGAAGCAGCUAGCCAAUCCACUCUUGGAUUCCUGACCCUCAGAAACUGAUAAUAAUAAAUGUUUGCUGUUUUAAGCUGCUAAGUUUUGUAGUAAUUUGUUACAGAGCAACAUGUAACUAUCAUAUGUUAAUAUUAACAGUGAGAUGGUGGCAAAAUACCAACCCACAAUGUGGAAGUGGCUUUAGAACUGAGCAAUGGGCUUUGACGAAAGGGUUAGUGACAGUCUGUAGUGCCUCGAACACACCGUCAAUAGAAGCCUUGUGGUUUUUCCUAAAGCUACAGGUGAGGGCUCACAGGUAAAUGAAGCAAAUGUUGGAAACUAGAGAAAGAGGGAAUUCAUUAUGUUGUAGUAAAAAAAUUAGUAAUGCUUUUGCCUGAAG